AACUCAUCAAGGGAAGCCGACCAACAGGUGGGGAGACGUCGCCAUGAAGUCCUCAAAAUAUAUCAAAUAUCACUUUUUCCUUGUUGCGGGCCCCGCAGAGAAGACAAUGCUACGACGUCAACUUAUUUUCUCUUAAAGCGUUCAAUAAUCAUUUUGAAAUCUCCUACGUCAACUCCAUCAUGUGGUCCUUUACGGAGUACCAAUACAGCAAAUAUAUCAGCUUUGCCUGUAUUGCACUCCGUGUGGAAUGCUCCAAUUGAUACCAGGAAAAAGACAAAGUGGAACCUCUAAAUAUUCAAUGUCCGCUUGAGCAACAUCUUCUCCAAAGAGUGACGGUACUGAACCAAUGUUCGUACCUCAGUUUUUGCCAUUUGUCUGGCUCUACUCAACUGAGCUCCAAAACCCAAAAAUGCAUAUCAGUGCAUCGGAACUUGGAUGAAAGAAGGAUCUGGCCCCACCUGGCGCCAGGGGAUCCGUCAUCCAGGAGCCGAACCUAGACCCGGACGUCUUGAUGGUGAUGGGGUCGCUGAUGCCCGUCAGUUUGCCGCACGCUGCAGAGGACGAGAG